UUACUUUACAAGCCCUUAACCAACAAUGCAGGCUUAAGAAAAAGUGUUAAUUAAGAAAGUAUUUACUAAAAGAAACUGAAGUAAAAAAUAUUAAAAUUAAAUAAAAAACAGAGAGUAGUGGCAGUGUAAAAAUGGGGGGUGGGGACCAUAAAAAUAGUCCGGGUAGUCAUUUGAUUAUCUGCUCAGCAGUCUUAUGGCUUUGGGGUAGAAGCUGCUAAGUAGUCCUUAUGUCAACAUCCACAGGUUGAUCUCUGUUAAGUAGCCCUUAUGUCAACAUCCACAGGUUGAUCUCUGUUAAGUAGCCCUUAUGUCAACAUCCACAGGUUGAUCUCUGUUAAGUAGUCCUUAUGUCAACAUCCACAGGUUGAUCUCUGUUAAGUAGUCCUUAUGUCAACCUCCACAGGUUGAUCUCUGUUAAGUAGUCCUUAUGUCAACAUCUGCAGGUUGAUCUUUGUUAAGUAGCCCUUAUGUCAACUGCCACAAGUUGAUCUCUGUUAAGUAGUCCUUAUCUCAACAUCUGCAGGUUGAUCUCUGUUAAGAAGUGGUUAGGUGUUUAGUGUUACUAGAUAGCUAUACAUUAUAUUCCUGAUGAGACUUUCUCUCAGUUCAUGAUCACUCCCAGCAUUUACUGUACUGUACAACAGCAAGCAGUAUUUGUUGAAUGUCUCCUUACUUAAUCACUGUGGUGUAAAUCAGGCCACCUCUGAAAGGAAGACACUAUGGUGUAAAUCAGGCCACCUCUGAAAGGAAGACACUAUGGUGUAAAU
ensembl:lncRNA